GACGAACGCUGGCGGCGUGCCUAAUACAUGCAAGUAGAACGCUGAAGGAGGAGCUUGCUUCUCUGGAUGAGUUGCGAACGGGUGAGUAACGCGUAGGUAACCUGCCUGGUAGCGGGGGAUAACUAUUGGAAACGAUAGCUAAUACCGCAUAAGAGUAGAUGUUGCAUGACAUUUGCUUAAAAGGUGCAAUUGCAUCACUACCAGAUGGACCUGCGUUGUAUUAGCUAGUUGGUGGGGUAACGGCUCACCAAGGCGACGAUACAUAGCCGACCUGAGAGGGUGAUCGGCCACACUGGGACGGAGACACGGCCCAGACUCCUACGGGAGGCAGCAGUAGGGAAUCUUCGGCAAUGGACGGAAGUCUGACCGAGCAACGCCGCGUGAGUGAAGAAGGUUUUCGGAUCGUAAAGCUCUGUUGUAAGAGAAGAACGAGUGUGAGAGUGGAAAGUUCACACUGUGACGGUAUCUUACCAGAAAGGGACGGCUAACUACGUG
rnacentral:rRNA from 1 species